GAUGAGGCAUCCUCUGAAGUAGCUAGGCUAGCAGGUUUUUAAUGUUGUUGUUCCUAAAGUGUCUAAGGUUUAGGUAGAUGAGGCAUCCUCUGAAGUAGCUCGACUAGCAGGUUCUGAAUGCUGUUGUUGACCUGAUCUUGUUUGUCGAGUCUGGUUCUGACCAGUUGUUGUUCCUUCUGACUCUCUUCCAGAGUUCUGAUGACCAGAGGGGAAA
rnacentral:lncRNA from 1 species